rnacentral:rRNA from 1 species
CAAGUCGAACGCGAAAGUCCCCUUCGGGGGACAAGUAGAGUGGCGUCCGGGUGAGUAACACGUAGGUAAUCUACCUUCGGGUGGGGAAUAACGCAGGGAAACUUGCGCUAAUACCGCAUAAUGCAGCGGCACCACAUGGUGACAGUUGUUAAAGCGGGGGAUUUUCGAACCUCGCGCCUGAAGAGGAGCCUGCGGCAGAUUAGCUAGUUGGUAAGGUAAUGGCUUACCAAGGCGACGAUCUGUAACCGGCCUGAGAGGGCGGUCGGUCACACUGACACUGACAUACGGGUCAGACUCCUACGGGAGGCAGCAGUCGGGAAUUUUGGGCAAUGGGCGAAAGCCUGACCCAGCAACGCCGCGUGAAGGAUGAAAUCCUUCGGGAUGUAAACUUCGCAAGAAUGGGAAGAAUGAGUAGGGGCUAAUACUCCCUAUGAUGACGGUACCAUUUGUAAGCUCCGGCUAACUCCGUGCCAGCAGCCGCGGUAAUACGGGGGGAGCAAGCGUUGUUCGGAUUUACUGGGCGUAAAGGGCGCGUAGGCGGCCAGCGCAAGUCAGUUGUGAAAUCUCCGGGCUUAACUCGGAACGGUCAACUGAUACUGCGCGGCUAGAGUGCGGAAGGGGCAACUGGAAUUCUCGGUGUAGCGGUGAAAUGCGUAGAUAUCGAGAGGAACACCUGCGGCGAAGGCGGGUUGCUGGGCCGACACUGACGCUGAUGCGCGAAAGCCAGGGGAGCGAACGGGAUUAGAUACCCCGGUAGUCCUGGCCUUAAACGAUGGAUGCUUGGUGUCUGGAGUUUUAUAGUCUCCGGGUGCCGCAGCUAACGCGUUAAGCAUCCCGCCUGGGGAGUACGGUCGCAAGACUGAAACUCAAAGGAAUUGACGGGGACCCGCACAAGCGGU